rnacentral:rRNA from 1 species
UACGGAGGGUGCAAGCGUUAAUCGGAAUUACUGGGCGUAAAGCGCUCGUAGGCGGCUUGUUAAGUCGGAUGUGAAAGCCCCGGGCUCAACCUGGGAACUGCAUUCGAUACUGGCAGGCUAGAGUAUAGUAGAGGCAAGUGGAAUUCCGGGUGUAGCGGUGAAAUGCGUAGAUAUCCGGAGGAACAUCAGUGGCGAAGGCGACUUGCUGGACUAAUACUAACGCUAAGGAGCGAAAGCGUGGGGAGCAAACGGGAUUAGAUACCCCUGUAGUCC